rnacentral:pre_miRNA from 13 species
ACGUUAUAUGGUAUAACGUUGCAUAGUAUAACGUUAUAUGUUAGAACGUACUAUACAACGUUAUAACGUAUUACGU